GUACUUGCUCCUGCGAUAUGUAUACUAAAACUGUAAAGAUACAGAGAUUAGCAUCGCCCUUGUGCAAGGAAGACAGUCAAAUUCCUGAAGCAUACCAUAUUUCU
ensembl:snRNA U6 U6 spliceosomal RNA